GAACGCGAAGAACCUUACCUGGUCUUGACAUGUACGGAAUCCUCCAGAGACGGAGGAGUGCUUUUGGGAGCCGUAACACAGGUGCUGCAUGGCUGUCGUCAGCUCGUGUCGUGAGAUGUUGGGUUAAGUCCCGCAACGAGCGCAACCCUUGUCAUUAGUUGCCAUCAUUCAGUUGGGCACUCUAAUGAGACUGCCGGUGACAAGCCGGAGGAAGGUGGGGAUGACGUCAAGUCCUCAUGGCCCUUAUGACCAGGGCUUCACACGUCAUACAAUGGUCGGUACAGAGGGUAGCCAAGCCGCGAGGUGGAGCCAAUCUCACAAAACCGAUCGUAGUCCGGAUUGCACUCUGCAACUCGAGUGCAUGAAGUCGGAAUCGCUAGUAAUCGCAGGUCAGCAUACUGCGGUGAAUACGUUCCCGGGUCUUGUACACACC
rnacentral:rRNA from 1 species